UCUGUGGGGUAGUUUGAGGAUGGUGGUGUAAAGAUACCAAGGCCUCACCUAGAGCUGGAACAGUACUUGGAACCUCACAGGUGCUGCAGGAUUGCUGAGUGAAUGAGCAAGAAAGGAACAGGCCUCAGGCCCUGCCCUGAAGAAGCUCACAGUGCAGGACAAGGUCUGGAGCCACGCCAGGGUUUUGUGGUUGUCUUGCAAGAGAAACAAAACAACUACUUCCCACCAGCUGACCCUCAGCCUCUCAGCUCACUGCUGGGACCUUGCAGCCCUGCAGGGAGCCCAGGCCUGGUGCCAGGCCUGGCUUUGCUGUGGCUCUAAGCCAGACACCUAACUCUCUCUGCUUUUAUGCAAAAUAGAUGCACCUCAGCUCCACCCUCCUCCCAAGGGCAAUUCUGAGGACCCCCCAGCAGUUGGAAGGCCCCUAUUGGAGGGGGUCCUCGGUGCAUUUUGGGAAGCGACACUCAACCACCAGCCCCAGGCCUGAUCUUCGGACCAGAAGGAGGUUAAAAACAUGCUGCUCAACACAGCUGUGCUGCCAGUUGCAAGGAGCCUCAUUCUAGAUCUUUCCUGAGCCUGAUGGAUUUGCAGUGAUGUCCAGUCUCCUGGGGAAUAAGGAGACCACUGGUGGAAGCUCGCCCUGGAAUUACACACACCUGGCACAUUUUAGGAUGGUACAAGGGAUUUUAAGGAAGACCCUGGCGGAGGGCUCCGUGGUUUCUUCCAGCCUGAAUGCCUUCAGGGGAUGCACAGAGGACCUCAGCUGCCAGCUCCCUCUGGCUCCCUCUGAAACAAUCUGGCUACACCUGGGAUCUAAGUGCUUUUCAUCCGAGAAAAUGCAUCUCUAUUCAGCCCCUCAGGACUUCCCUGAAGGAAAGAUAGGAUAUUUGAGGCGAAUGAGAGGACCUCUGGCUCUACUGAUGGAAGUGCGGCCCCUUGCGUGACCACCAUCCUGGGUCUCUGCCUUCUCCCACAGCAGAUGCCUCCCCUCCCAGCAGGGUCUCCACCUCCGGCUCAUUCCUCUUCCCCUGCUCCCCCUUCCCCUUUCUGUUCCCUUGGGAUCCAGGUUUAUCUGAGGAACAGGAACAAGUUCACCAUCUGGCGGGUUAGGACAGCCACCUCUGCUUGCUGCUUACCCAUCCUGGGGCUGGGAAGAAGGCUCCUGGCCCCUCUGAGCCUCCUUUCCUCCUCUGCGGAGUAGACUGUUCUCAGGACCAGAUGAUGUUAUCGUCUGUGACCCUGCAAGACCCAGAAGAUGCUCCAACCGGGGGGCGUGGGGAUGAAGCAUGCUCUGAGUGUGUAACCUGAACACUGUCAACUGUCCCUGAAAGCCGAGCACUGGGAGUCUCUGCUGUGCCCCGAGCUUCACCAUCCCACAUGUGCGCAGCCCGUUUUCCAGCAUGAUAAAAUCCUUAGGGUUUAAUGGGAACCAACCGAGACCAGUGACCAUGGGAGCAGAAACCUCAGGCAACAUCCCGGGUGCCAUAUUGCUUUAUCUGCACCCCCACUUCCACCUCAUCACGAACCAUCAUGAACUUUUUGAAAAUAAACCUUCAUAUGCAUUUUAAAAACAAACUUUACUUUGAGGAGAGGUUUAGGUGUGUGGAAUUGUAAACGUCCUGCACCAGUGUUCUCUAUUGUUAGCCUACUGCUAAUAAACCAGCGUUGACACAUUCUGA